CCUUGACCUCAAAUCGGGUG
rnacentral:rRNA from 1 species